UACGUAGGGGGCUAGCGUUGUCCGGAUUUAUUGGGCGUAAAGAGCUCGUAGGCGGCUUGGUAAGUCAGGUGUGAAACCCCCGGGCUCAACCCGGGGACGCCACCUGAUACUGCUAUAGCUUGAGUCCGGUAGGGGAGCGUGGAAUUCCUGGUGUAGCGGUGAAAUGCGCAGAUAUCAGGAGGAACACCAGCGGCGAAGGCGGCGCUCUGGGCCGGAACUGACGCUGAGGAGCGAAAGCGUGGGGAGCAAACAGG
rnacentral:rRNA from 1 species